rnacentral:misc_RNA from 1 species
AUAUCCGAUAGUAAUAUCUCGAAGAAUAUUCAGAGCAUAAUACAAUAUGUAUCCUGUUUGUCUUAGGAGCAGAGGAGAGGAGAGUUGCACGAGUGGAAACACGCGUGCGGAUAACUCCCCUGAGAAGCGGCGAGAUGUCGGCCGCAGAGAAAAGAGAGAAUAGUUAGGGCGUGUGUGCUGGAACGCCUUCUCGUCUUCCCUUCACCGUAACGUCUCUGUCGGAUCGCAACGAUCAACGCGCUUAACGGUUCCUCUACGCCUCGAGAAAGAUGUUAAUGUGCAUCCUGGUAGCUGAUAGAUAAGUCUGCCUCGCCGCUCUUCCAACGUCAGUUAGUUGAAUGCGUUUGAUUAGCGCCUGACCGACCGCGACGCGACGCGUUGCGACGUGUCAGAUCGUAAAUGCCCUGGGUGGGGCGGUUAAAACAGUGUCGUUUAAUAGGUUCGUUACGUUCGGUUCUAGCGAUAAAUAACUACGUGAUACUACGCGACAAUGAAACUACAAAUUUCG